rnacentral:rRNA from 2 species
GGGGGUGCCCUAAAUCAUGCCAGGUCGAGCGGACAGAUGGGAGCUUGCUCCCUGAAGUCAGCGGCGGACGGCGUGAGUAACACGUGGGCAACCUGCCUGUAAGACUGGGAUAACUCCGGGAAACCGGAGCUAAUACCGGAUAACAUUUCGAACCGCAUGGUUCGGAAUUGAAAGGUGGCUUUUGCUAUCACUUACAGAUGGACCCGCGGCGCAUUAGCUAGUUGGUGAGGUAACGGCUCACCAAGGCAACGAUGCGUAGCCGACCUGAGAGGGUGAUCGGCCACACUGGGACUGAGACACGGCCCAGACUCCUACGGGAGGCAGCAGUAGGGAAUCUUCCGCAAUGGACGAGGGUCUGACGGAGCAACGCCGCGUGAACGAUGAAGGCCUUCGGGUCGUAAAGUUCUGUUGUUAGGGAAGAACAAGUACCAGAGUAACUGCUGGUACCUUGACGGUACCUAACCAGAAAGCCACGGCUAA